AAAUUGAAGAGUUUGAUCAUGGCUCAGAUUGAACGCUGGCGGCAGGCCUAACACAUGCAAGUCGAACGGUAACAGGAAGAAGCUUGCUUCUUUGCUGACGAGUGGCGGACGGGUGAGUAAUGUCUGGGAAACUGCCUGAUGGAGGGGGAUAGCUACGCAAGAGCGGUAGCUAAUACCGCAUAACGUCGCAAAAGACCAAGGGGGACCUUCGGGCCUCUUGCCAUCGGAUGUGUGCCCAGAUGGGAUUAGCUUGUUGGUGGGGUAACGGCUCACCAAGGCGACAGUCCUAGCUGGUCUGAGAGGAUGACCAGCCACACUGGAACUGAGACACGGGUCCAGACUCCUACGGGAGGCAGCAGUGGGGGAAUAUUGCACAAUGGGCGCAAGCCUAAUUAAGCCAUGCCGCGUGUAUGAAAGAAGGCCUUCGGGUUGUAAAAAGUACUUUCAGCGGGGAGGAAGGGAGUAAAGUUAAUACCUUUGCUCAUUGACGUUACCCGCAGAAGAAGCACCGGCUAACUCCGUGCCAGCAGCCGCGGUAAUACGGAGGGUGCAAGCGUUAAUCAGUACUGGGCGUAAAGCGCACGCAGGCGGUUUGUUAAGUCAGUGUGAAAUCCCCGGGCUCAGCUUUUGGGAACUGCAUCUGAUACUGGCAAAAAGCGAGUCUCGUAGAGGGGUAGAAUUCAGUGUAGCGGUGAAAUGCGUAGAGAUCUGGAGGAAUACCGGUGGCGAAGGCGGCCCCACGGACGAAGACUGACGCUCAGGUGCGAAAGCGUGGGGAGCAAACAGGAUUAGAUACCCUGGUAGUCCACGCCGUAAACGAUGUCGACUUGGAGGUUGUGCCCUUGAGGCGUGGCUUCCGGAGCUAACGCGUCAACCCACACAAAGCCAACCCUAAAGUCCACUCCUCGAUUGACGGGGGCCCGCACAAGCGGUGGAGCAUGUGGUUUAAUUCGAUGCAACGCGAAGAACCUUACCUGGUCUUGACAUCCACAGAACUUUCCAGAGAUGGAUUGGUGCCUUCGGGAACUGUGAGACAGGUGCUGCAUGGCUGUCGUCAGCUCGUGUUGUGAAAUGUUGGGUUAAGUCCCGCAACGAGCGCAACCCUUAUCCUUUGUUGCCAGCGGUCCGGCCGGGAACUCAAAGGAGACUGCCAGUGAUAAACUGGAGGAAGGUGGGGAUGACGUCAAGUCAUCAUGGCCCUUACGACCAGGGCUACACACGUGCUACAAUGGCGCAUACAAAGAGAAGCGACCUCGCGAGAGCAAGCGGACCUCAUAAAGUGCGUCGUAGUCCGGAUUGGAGUCUGCAACUCGACUCCAUGAAGUCGGAAUCGCUAGUAAUCGUGGAUCAGAAUGCCACGGUGAAUACGUUCCCGGGCCUUGUACACACCGCCCGUCACACCAUGGGAGUGGGUUGCAAAAGAAGUAGGUAGCUUAACCUUCGGGAGGGCGCUUACCACUUUGUGAUUCAUGACUGGGGUGAAGUCGUAACAAGGUAACCGUAGGGGAACCUGCGGUUGGAUCACCUCCUUACCUUAAAGAAGC
rnacentral:rRNA from 1 species